UUCAGCCGGUGCGUUUGCUAAUUCCGGCCCAAGUUUGAUAAAGGUUGACUUCAGCUUUUCUGGAAUACAAGCUCUACCACAGGCACUGUUCAUUAGCACACCAUUGCUGGAAGUUUUUAAUAUGGACAAUAACAAGCUUACUAACCUGCCAAGUGACCUCUUUGCCUAUACUCACAACC